rnacentral:rRNA from 1 species
UACGUAGGGUGCGAGCGUUAAUCGGAAUUACUGGGCGUAAAGCGUGCGCAGGCGGUUGGUUAAGUCUGAUGUGAAAGCCCCGGGCUCAACCUGGGAAUGGCAGUGGAUACUGGCAAGCUAGAGUGCGGUAGAGGGGUGUGGAAUUCCCGGUGUAGCGGUGAAAUGCGUAGAGAUCGGGAGGAACACCAGUGGCGAAGGCGGCACCCUGGACCAGCACUGACACUGAGGCACGAAAGCGUGGGGAGCAAACAGG